UGGACAGAUUAUUGUAUUCGACUGUAUUCACGGUGUGAAACAGGGGAUUACACUGCUUUUAGACGGAAAGUGAAUCAAUUAACAUAAUAGACUCCU
rfam:Nicotiana sylvestris Nsyl_contig68279, whole genome shotgun sequence.